rnacentral:rRNA from 1 species
UACGGAGGAUCCAAGCGUUAUCCGGAAUCAUUGGGUUUAAAGGGUCCGUAGGCGGGCCUGUAAGUCAGUGGUGAAAUCCGGCGGCUUAACCGUCGAACUGCCAUUGAUACUGCAGGCCUUGAAUUAUUGGGAAGUAACUAGAAUAUGUAGUGUAGCGGUGAAAUGCUUAGAUAUUACAUGGAAUACCGAUUGCGAAGGCAGGUUACUACCAAUUGAUUGACGCUGAUGGACGAAAGCGUGGGGAGCGAACAGG